UUGGAGGGCAAGUCUGGUGCCAGCAGCCGCGGUAAUUCCAGCUCCAAUAGCGUAUAUUAAAGUUGUUGCAGUUAAAAGCUCGUAGUUGAAUUUCGGGAUUAAUUUAUUGGUCGUGCUAUUGUACGUACUGGUAUUAUUGAUUCCUACCUUCUGACGAACCAUGAUGUCAUUUAAUUUGGUGUCGUUGGGGAAUCAGGACUGUUACUUUAGAAAAAUUGAGUGUUUAAAGCAGGCUCACGCUUGAAUACAUUAGCAUGGAAUAACGAAAUAGGACGUUUGAUUCUAUUUUGUUGGUUUCUAGGAUCGACGUAAUGAUUAAUAGGGAUAGGUUGGGGGCAUUAGUAUUCAAUUGUCAGAGGUGAAAUUCUUGGAUUUAUUGAAGACUAACU
rnacentral:rRNA from 1 species